GUGCAUGUGCUUGUACUAUGACCCCAUCCUAGAUCCAUGAUCAUCACCAGUUUAACUUUUGUUAUUAUGCCUGGAUGUUUAUGUUUAUGUUUAUGCAUAGUGGUUAGAUAAUUAUUUGCAUGAGAUGUAGAUAAUUAAAUGAAAGAGACCUAAAUUAAAUCUCCUCGAAAAAUAUUAAGUCCAUAGGUCUUCCACCGUAGUAGAGCUGCUAAGAUCUUUCCGGCGUUGAUUUGUCUCGGCUGGACACAGUGGGCAAGUUGCAUCGGGGGAUUGGACCUCUCUAUUAGGCAUGAGAUGUUGUAGGGGUAAAGAUAGGGUUGGGCCCAAUAACUGUUAGGUGAGGGACCCAAUGAUGGCUUUGCUUCUGCGGUUAUACGGUGGGUCCGACUUAACUAAGGAAUAGGGCCAAUAACUGUUAGGUGAGGUCUUCAUUACUUAGAGACCUGAUAGCGCUACAACUUGCUUGAGAAGCAUUGUACAAGAGUUGUACACUUAUCAUUU
rnacentral:lncRNA from 1 species